AGAGUUUGAUCAUGGCUCAGAUUGAACGCUGGCGGCAGGCCUAACACAUGCAAGUCGAACGGUAACAGAAAGCAGCUUGCUGCUUUGCUGACGAGUGGCGGACGGGUGAGUAAUGUCUGGGAAACUGCCUGAUGGAGGGGGAUAACUACUGGAAACGGUAGCUAAUACCGCAUAACGUCGCAAGACCAAAGAGGGGGACCUUCGGGCCUCUUGCCAUCGGAUGUGCCCAGAUGGGAUUAGCUAGUAGGUGGGGUAACGGCUCACCUAGGCGACGAUCCCUAGCUGGUCUGAGAGGAUGACCAGCCACACUGGAACUGAGACACGGUCCAGACUCCUACGGGAGGCAGCAGUGGGGAAUAUUGCACAAUGGGCGCAAGCCUGAUGCAGCCAUGCCGCGUGUAUGAAGAAGGCCUUCGGGUUGUAAAGUACUUUCAGCGGGGAGGAAGGGAGUAAAGUUAAUACCUUUGCUCAUUGACGUUACCCGCAGAAGAAGCACCGGCUAACUCCGUGCCAGCAGCCGCGGUAAUAAGGAGGGUGCAAGCGUUAAUCGGAAUUACUGGGCGUAAAGCGCACGCAGGCGGUUUGUUAAGUCAGAUGUGAAAUCCCCGGGCUCAACCUGGGAACUGCAUCUGAUACUGGCAAGCUUGAGUCUCGUAGAGGGGGGUAGAAUUCCAGGUGUAGCGGUGAAAUGCGUAGAGAUCUGGAGGAAUACCGGUGGCGAAGGCGGCCCCCUGGACGAAGACUGACGCUCAGGUGCGAAAGCGUGGGGAGCAAACAGGAUUAGAUACCCUGGUAGUCCACGCCGUAAACGAUGUCGACUUGGAGGUUGUGCCCUUGAGGCGUGGCUUCCGGAGCUAACGCGUUAAGUCGACCGCCUGGGGAGUACGGCCGCAAGGUUAAAACUCAAAUGAAUUGACGGGGGCCCGCACAAGCGGUGGAGCAUGUGGUUUAAUUCGAUGCAACGCGAAGAACCUUACCUGGUCUUGACAUCCACAGAACUUUCCAGAGAUGGAUUGGUGCCUUCGGGAACUGUGAGACAGGUGCUGCAUGGCUGUCGUCAGCUCGUGUUGUGAAAUGUUGGGUUAAGUCCCGCAACGAGCGCAACCCUUAUCCUUUGUUGCCAGCGGUCCGGCCGGGAACUCAAAGGAGACUGCCAGUGAUAAACUGGAGGAAGGUGGGGAUGACGUCAAGUCAUCAUGGCCCUUACGACCAGGGCUACACACGUGCUACAAUGGCGCAUACAAAGAGAAGCGACCUCGCGAGAGCAAGCGGACCUCAUAAAGUGCGUCGUAGUCCGGAUUGGAGUCUGCAACUCGACUCCAUGAAGUCGGAAUCGCUAGUAAUCGUGGAUCAGAAUGCCACGGUGAAUACGUUC
rnacentral:rRNA from 1 species